UGAGUGUUGAAGCCGAAGAAGGAGGAGCAGCAGCAGCAGAGAUGAAGAACAGAGGCGGUGACUCGGCUCCUCCGCGGCCGUGGAUUCUUCGUUGAUAUCACUG